UGCUGCGUCCCCCCCCCGGCCCGGGGCGCCCCCCAGCUGCGGGGCAGGCGGCCCGGCCGGGGCGCUCCCUGCGCCGGGCGGAGCAGGCGGCGUUUGGACCCGCACGACCCUCCCGGAGCCGGCAGCAGGAGGAAGUCGGGGCGGGGGGGUGAUAAGGAGACACAAGCCGCAUUGUGCAGCCCGGCCGCGUUUGAAUAUCGCCCAGCGCAGGAGCAGAGCGGAGCCGGCCGCCUAAAAAUAACACCGCAAGAAAUCCCAACCCUCAAUUUACAGCGUGCGUUCACAGCGUUAGGGCGAAGGCGACAGAGACACCCUACC